rnacentral:rRNA from 1 species
UACGGGAGGCAGCAGUGGGGAAUAUUGCACAAUGGGCGAAAGCCUGAUGCAGCUAUGCCGCGUGUAUGAAGAAGGCCUUAGGGUUGUAAAGUACUUUCAUCGGGGAGGAAAAACAAAACUAAUAAUUUUAUUUCUUGACGUUACCCGAAAAAGAAGCACCGGCUAACUCCGUGCCAGCAGCCGCGGUAAUACGGAGGGUGCUAGCGUUAAUCAGAAUUACUGGGCGUAAAGAGCACGUAGGUGGUUUUUUUAAGUCAGAUGUGAAAUCCCUGGGCUUAACCUGGAACUGCAUUUGAAACUGAAAUACUAGAGUAUCGUAGAGGGAGGUAGAAUUCUAGGUGUAGCGGUGAAAUGCGUAGAUAUCUGGAGGAAUACCUGUGGCGAAAGCGGCCUCCUAAACGAAUACUGACACUGAGGUGCGAAAGCGUGGGGAGCAAACAGGGAUUAGAUACC